AGAGAGAAGGAGGGAAGGAGGAAAAAAGAGAGAGAAGGAGGGAAGGAGGAAAAUAGAGAGGAGGAGGGAGCAUCGAGUGUGUGUGUGUUUAUUGCAGGGUGAUGGGCUCUAGCCCCAACUCCCCAGCUUUCCUCUCCCCUUUGGACAGAAAGAGAAUCCUGGCACUGGUCCCCUCCAGUCAAGUGAUUGUAAAUAUAGCCUGGGAUGUUGUUUACAUGAAACAGCCAGAAGGAGGAGCAUAGGAAGGAGGAGGAGGAGGAGGAGGAAGGAGGAGGAGAAGGAGACCCAGGAGUUGCCAAGGCUGGCUGCUUGGCUGGCAAAGGAGAUUCCUAGCACCACCACCAAUAGAUGAAAGAAGCAGUGGGAAAAAGCAGGAGGGUUGCAAACUGAAGAUCACAUUAUAUGGACCCCUGUAACAUUCACUGAAUGGAAAAGUUGCAAGUACCAUUGGUCAGUCCCAGUAAAGAAUGGCACCAAUUCAGAAUAAGAAGUCUAAGGAAUACCAGUAUGCUCAGGUUAUGACUUAGCCACAUUAUGGAUUUCAUCUGCCAUCUUCCCCAUCUUGUUAUUCUCCAUCAUUUGGCAUCAUUUUAACCAGCUGGAAGAAAGACUUUGUGGAUAAAAGCUCCGGCAUGAUUGAGGAGGUAUCUGGUGAAAGCUUGAUCAUCCAUUCUAUUGUUGAUAAAAAAGUAUCACAACAGCAAAAGGUUCAACUACCACAUCUCAGCAAUGCUACUGAAGAGCCAAGGAUCUGUAUUGUAUUGUCCAUGAUCAUCUUUUUUGAACAUACACACAACUGUGGAGAGGAACAGAUGUAUCUAGACCUUGCAUUAUCGUCAGCCCCACAUAGAGUGCAAUGGAGUAAUCUAAAUGGGAAAUUGCCAGUACGUGUUCCUGCCCAGAAAAUGGUGAGCUGACUCACUCUGAGCCACUGAGGCAACCUGGGCCUCCAGUGACAGUCGAUUCUGGAAUACUUUGUAUACUAUGUAACUGUUCUUUAAGGGGAAGUGUAACCCAUACUCAAAACAGGUUCCUUACACUAUUAUUGGACAUGGAAACCAAUGAACCACACAGUCUAUAGUCUGUUAGGAUUCAGCCUCAACUUAGUGGUCUUCAUCCAGCCUCUUACAUUGCUUCAUCUCUUAACAGUACAAUUAAAUCUGACAACCAUGA